GUUGUUAGUAGCCUAUUUUAAAGGUAUAACUUUGAAAAAGUUAAGAAGAUAUUUAUCCAACAACA
rnacentral:tRNA from 1 species